ACAGGCUUUGCAGGUGAGGUGCUGUGUCAGAGAGGAGAGGAGCUAUGUCCACAUUCAGUGUUCUAAUCUACGACGUCUGAAUGAUUCGUAGCCUAACGUU
rnacentral:snoRNA from 1 species